rnacentral:rRNA from 1 species
CCUACGGGCGGCAGCAGUGGGGAAUAUUGGACAAUGGGCGAAAGCCUGAUCCAGCCAUGCCGCGUGUGUGAAGAAGGCCUUCGGGUUGUAAAGCACUUUCAGUGGGGAAGAAAGCCUUGGGGCUAAUACCCUCGAGGAAGGACAUCACCCACAGAAGAAGCACCGGCUAACUCCGUGCCAGCAGCCGCGGUAAUACGGAGGGUGCGAGCGUUAAUCGGAAUUACUGGGCGUAAAGCGCGCGUAGGCGGUCUGAUAAGCCGGUUGUGAAAGCCCCGGGCUCAACCUGGGAACGGCAUCCGGAACUGUCAGGCUAGAGGGCAGGAGAGGAAGGUAGAAUCCCCGGUGUAGCGGGGAAAUGCGUAGAGAUCGGGAGGAAUACCAGUGGCGAAGGCGGCCUUCUGGACUGACACUGACGCUGAGGUGCGAAAGCGUGGGUAGCAAACAGGAUUAGAUACCCGAGUAGUC